GAUUACGCCUGAACGCCUCUAAGGCCGUAUCCACUCUGGAGAAAACAGCCGGGCCGGCUUUCGGGCCGGUCUCGGGAAAACGAUCGUCCGUACGGCGGAGGAGAACCCAGUAUACAUCGGGAAGGCGUCAAAGCACGGACCUUCGGGUCCACGACGAGCCGGAUUCUCGGCCGCGCGGGCUCUCGGGCCCGCUGGCCGUGCAUCAACGGUGAACGCGGUGAUCCCGCGGCAAACGGUGUGGGUUUUCGGAAUCGUCUGCAGACGACUUAAGUACCGGGCUGGGUGUUGUACUCGGCAGAGCAGUUACCACGCUGCGAUCUGUUAAGACUGCCCUUUGCCUCGGGGGUUCGU
rnacentral:ncRNA from 1 species